rnacentral:tRNA from 1 species
GCGGACGUAGUUUAACGGUAAAACAGCUUUCUUCCCAGUCAGCCAUUGCGGGUUCGAAUCCCGUCGUCCGCU